AUGCUGUUGUCUGCCUCCUAAACAGAGUUAAACAAAUAUAACCACUACCUACAGGCUAAACCUACGCUGUGUUGUCUGCCUCCUAAUCAGAGUUAAACAAAUAUAACCACUACCUACAGGCUAAACCUACACUGUGUUGUCUGCCUCCUAAUCAGAGUUAAACUAAUAUAACCACUACCUACAGGCUAAACCUACGCUGUGUUGUCUGUAAUCAGAGUUAAACUAAUAUAACCACUACCUACAGGCUAAACCUACGCUGUGUUGUCUGCCUCCUAAACAGAGUUAAACAAAUAUAACCACUACCUACAGGCUAAACCUACACUGUGUUGUCUGCCUCCUAAUCAGAGUUAAACAUAUUUCAGGCUGAUCUGAUAGAACAACUAGAGCCUAUAUGUAAUAAAAGGUUUGCGCAUUUCAAACUGUCCUUUUGUGAGGCGCAGCCGGGAACUAGUUCUGUAAGAUGGAGAGGUGGGGAGGAUAAACAGGGAGCAUUUCCUGUCAUCGUUCACAUCUCCAGUUUGACAACAUUUUGGGUUCCUAGUAGAUUACAGUGGUGAUGGACAGAGAGCAUGUCUCCACGCUCAUCUAGAAUAGAUUACAGUGGUGAUGGACAGAGAGCAUGUCUCCACGCUCAUCUAGACUAGAUUAGAGGUGAUGGACAGAGAGCAUGUCUCCACGCUCAUCUAGAAUAGAUUACAGUGGUGAUGGACAGAGAGCAUGUCUCCACGCUCAUCUAGAAUAGAUUACAGUGGUGAUGGACAGAGAGCAUGUCUCCACUCUCAUCUAGAAUAGAUUACAGAGGUGAUGGACAGAGAGCAUGUCUCCACUCUCAUCUAGAAUAGAUUAGAGGUGAUGGACAGAGAGCAUGUCUCCACUCUCAUCUAGAAUAGAUUAGAGGUGAUGGACAGAGAGCAUGUCUCCACGCUCAUCUAGACUAGAUUAGAGGUGAUGGACAGAGAGCAUGUCUCCACUCUCAUCUAGAAUAGAUUACAGAGGUGAUGGACAGAGAGCAUGUCUCCACUCUCAUCUAGAAUAGAUUAGAGGUGAUGGACAGAGAGCAUGUCUCCACGCUCAUCUAGAGUAGAUUACAGAGGUGAUGGACAGAGAGCAUGUCUCCACGCUCAUCUAGAAUAGAUUACAGUGGUGAUGGACAGAGAGCAUGUCUCCACGCUCAUCUAGAGUAGAUUACAGUGGUGAUGGACAGAGAGCAUGUCUCCACGCUCAUCUAGAGUAGAUUACAGUGGUGAUGGACAGAGAGCAUGUCUCCACGCUCAUCUAGAAUAGAUUACAGUGGUGAUGGACAGAGAGCAUGUCUCCACGCUCAUCUAGAAUAGAUUACAGUGGUGAUGGACAGAGAGCAUGUCUCCACGCUCAUCUAGAAUAGAUUACAGUGGUGAUGGACAGAGAGCAUGUCUCCACGCUCAUCUAGAAUAGAUUACAGUGGUGAUGGACAGAGAGCAUGUCUCCACGCUCAUCUAGAAUAGAUUACAGUGGUGAUGGACAGAGAGCAUGUCUCCACGCUCAUCUAGAAUAGAUUAGAGGUGAUGGACAGAGAGCAUGUCUCCACGCUCAUCUAGAAUAGAUUACAGAGGUGAUGGACAGAGAGCAUGUCUCCACGCUCAUCUAGAAUAGAUUACAGAGGUGAUGGACAGAGAGCAUGUCUCCACGCUCAUCUAGAAUAGAUUACAGAGGUGAUGGACAGAGAGCAUGUCUCCACGCUCAUCUAGAGUAGAUUACAGAGGUGAUGGACAGAGAGCAUGUCUCCACGCUCAUCUAGAGUAGAUUACAGAGGUGAUGGACAGAGAGCAUGUCUCCACGCUCAUCUAGAAUAGAUUACAGAGGUGAUGGACAGAGAGCAUGUCUCCACGCUCAUCUAGAAUAGAUUACAGUGGUGAUGGACAGAGAGCAUGUCUCCACUCUCAUCUAGAAUAGAUUACAGUGGUGAUGGACAGAGAGCAUGUCUCCACGCUCAUCUAGAAUAGAUUACAGAGGUGAUGGACAGAGAGCAUGUCUCCACGCUCAUCUAGAAUAGAUUACAGUGGUGAUGGACAGAGAGCAUGUCUCCACGCUCAUCUAGAAUAGAUUACAGUGGUGAUGGACAGAGAGCAUGUCUCCACGCUCAUCUAGAAUAGAUUACAGUGGUGAUGGACAGAGAGCAUGUCUCCACGCUCAUCUAGAAUAGAUUACAGUGGUGAUGGACAGAGAGCAUGUCUCCACGCUCAUCUAGAAUAGAUUACAGUGGUGAUGGACAGAGAGCAUGUCUCCACGCUCAUCUAGAAUAGAUUACAGUGGUGAUGGACAGAGAGCAUGUCUCCACUCUCAUCUAGAAUAGAUUACAGUGGUGAUGGACAGAGAGCAUGUCUCCACGCUCAUCUAGAAUAGAUUACAGAGGUGAUGGACAGAGAGCAUGUCUCCACGCUCAUCUAGAAUAGAUUACAGUGGUGAUGGACAGAGAGCAUGUCUCCACGCUCAUCUAGAAUAGAUUACAGAGGUGAUGGACAGAGAGCAUGUCUCCACGCUCAUCUAGAAUAGAUUACAGUGGUGAUGGACAGAGAGCAUGUCUCCACGCUCAUCUAGACUAGAUUACAGUGGUGAUGGACAGAGAGCAUGUCUCCACGCUCAUCUAGAAUAGAUUACAGAGGUGAUGGACAGAGAGCAUGUCUCCACGCUCAUCUAGAAUAGAUUAGAGGUGAUGGACAGAGAGCAUGUCUCCACGCUCAUCUAGAAUAGAUUACAGUGGUGAUGGACAGAGAGCAUGUCUCCACGCUCAUCUAGAAUAGAUUACAGUGGUGAUGGACAGAGAGCAUGUCUCCACGCUCAUCUAGAAUAGAUUACAGAGGUGAUGGACAGAGAGCAUGUCUCCACGCUCAUCUAGAAUAGAUUAGAGGUGAUGGACAGAGAGCAUGUCUCCACGCUCAUCUAGAAUAGAUUACAGUGGUGAUGGACAGAGAGCAUGUCUCCACGCUCAUCUAGAAUAGAUUACAGAGGUGAUGGACAGAGAGCAUGUCUCCACGCUCAUCUAGAAUAGAUUACAGUGGUGAUGGACAGAGAGCAUGUCUCCACGCUCAUCUAGAAUAGAUUAUAGUGGUGAUGGACAGAGAGCAUGUCUCCACACUCAUCUAGAAUAGAUUAUAGUGGUGAUGGACAGAGAGCAUGUCUCCACGCUCAUCUAGAAUAGAUUACAGUGGUGAUGGACAGAGAGCAUGUCUCCACGCUCAUCUAGAAUAGAUUACAGUGGUGAUGGACAGAGAGCAUGUCUCCACGCUCAUCUAGAAUAGAUUACAGUGGUGAUGGACAGAGAGCAUGUCUCCACGCUCAUCUAGAAUAGAUUACAGUGGUGAUGGACAGAGAGCAUGUCUCCACGCUCAUCUAGAAUAGAUUACAGUGGUGAUGGACAGAGAGCAUGUCUCCACGCUCAUCUAGAAUAGAUU